AUUGAACGCUGGCGGCAGGCCUAACACAUGCAAGUCGAACGGUAACAGGAAACAGCUUGCUGUUUCGCUGACGAGUGGCGGACGGGUGAGUAAUGUCUGGGAAACUGCCUGAUGGAGGGGGAUAACUACUGGAAACGGUAGCUAAUACCGCAUAACGUCGCAAGACCAAAGAGGGGGACCUUCGGGCCUCUUGCCAUCGGAUGUGCCCAGAUGGGAUUAGCUAGUAGGUGGAGUAACGGCUCACCUAGGCGACGAUCCCUAGCUGGUCUGAGAGGAUGACCAGCCACACUGGAACUGAGACACGGUCCAGACUCCUACGGGAGGCAGCAGUGGGAAUAUUGCACAAUGGGCGCAAGCCUGAUGCAGCCAUGCCGCGUGUAUGAAGAAGGCCUUCGGGUUGUAAAGUACUUUCAGCGGGGAGGAAGGGAGUAAAGUUAAUACCUUUGCUCAUUGACGUUACCCGCAGAAGAAGCAUCGGCUAACUCCGUGCCAGCAGCCGCCGCGGUAA
rnacentral:rRNA from 1 species